GUCCCGCCCGCUGUUACUGGGGAAGCGCCGCUGGCUGCCCGGGCUCCGCUUCUCCAGCUCCACAAAGUCAGCGGGCACGUAGUAAUACUUGGGGACAACAGGGCACCCUGGGGACAGCAAGCACAGCAGACAGUAAAUAUCACUGCCCUCACAUCACUGGAGUCCCCCAAGAGAGAUGAAGUGGAUCCAGACCAGGAAAUAGUGCACCCCAGUAACAGUUUGAACAGUUUGUCAUUCGUUGUUAUCUCAGUGAGGAAUCCCAUGGCAAUGUUAAACCACUUUGAAUUUCACCAGACAUUUCCUCUGAAUUUCUGCCCAGAACAGUUCUAGCUUCCAUCCUGAGAUCACCCCUUGAACUUCUUUGGUGUGUUGCCUGUCCUCACAUCAAGACUGAGGGGACUGUGGAAAAGAAACUACUGCAAUGGCUACAAACACAACCAUACUGAGGAACUACAG